rnacentral:rRNA from 1 species
CCCUUAGAUGUUCUGGGCUGCACGCGCGCUACACUGAUGCACUCAACGAGUUUACGACCUUGCCCGAUAGGGUUGGGUAAUCUUUUUAAAAUGCAUCGUGAUGGGGAUAGAUUAUUGCAAUUAUUAAUCUUCAACGUGGAAUUCCUAGUAAGCGCGAGUCAUCAGCUCGUGCUGAUUACGUCCCUGCCCUUUGUACACACCGCCCGUCGCUCCUACCGAUUGAGUGCUCAGGUGAAUAAUUCGGACUGCAGCAAUGUUUGGAUCCCGAACGUUGCAGCGGAAAGUUUAGUGAACCUUAUCACUUAGAGGAAGGAGAAGUCGUAACA